CCCCCACCCCCAACCAAGCAAACAACAACACCACAAACAACAGCUGCAGUAGAAAGUCCAGCUUCUGCUUCCCUGUGGCACAUACCUGUCCGUACAGUGAUUGGACUGCUCUGCUUAAUCAUCAUGAUCAGCAUCACUGUUGUUACCUGGAGAAAAGCUCUACAGAUACAGAAGCAAAGUGCAGCAGAAGCAGGAAAUGAUCUCUGAUCCUCCAUCACACAGAAACAAGAGCAGUAACAGCUGGACUGGGAUCAGCAUUCAUCAUCAUCCAGUUACAGAGCAAACAGUCACGCAGCUGACCUUAACUGUGUUGUUCAUGACUCAUAUUGUAUAUCUGCAUCACGUGAUUUAUUUGAUAAAGGCUUCUGUGUUACUUUGGGUGACUGUCAAAUGCUGCUGUGUUGGGCUCAUUAGUCUGACUGUUAAGUUUAUUUUAUCUUGUCCUGGAUUUCAGUGAGUGUUGGUUCUGUGUCAUCACAAUAACAAGUCAUAGCUUAAUGUAUGUGUAAUGAUUUGACUGCAACUACCAAUUAAAAAUAUAGAAUAGAAUGCCUUUAUUGUCAUUAUACAGGAUGUACAAUGAGAUUGGAUAUAUAUAUUAUUGUGUACUAAAAGUGUGUCCAUGAGUACAGAUUUGUUUAAUGUCUGUGUGUA